GAUGUUGUUUAAAGAGAGAAAUAGUGGACAUCGAUGGUUUUUGAUGGUUGGGAAGGAAAAUUCAUUUCGUUUACAGAUAGCAACUGUAUAGCUGACUCUUAGGAAGACCCUCUUGUAUGAUGAAUGAUGGAUUUAUUAUGGAUACGCCCAGCCAUCAAUCAAACAAGGCGCAAUCUGAAGUAAGAGAACGCGUCAACGGGAGAAUCGCAAACAAAACUGAUUGGAAUCUUUCCGUUGAUGCGAAGACUAAAAUGCAGCUUUCUUUUCAGCGAUCAUAAGAUCAGCUGGAACUCCCUAUCACCACGAGCAAACAUGUAAACAGUCACCAAAAAUGCAUUGAAUAUAUGACCUUCUUAAAAAGAAAUCAGAUUUCUUAUCAACACAGGUGAAUUGCGAAACUGAAGUCAAAUUUCAUUUCAUAUAUGGAAAAGAAAUCGCUCUUUGGAAUUGGAUCAUCGUUGUUUUUUCUUUUUUAAAGAUCCUCCUGUCAUGAAUGGGGCUCAUCCCUCAUCUUGGGAAUAAAGCAACUGUUUUAGGUGCCGAAGGGAGACGAGAAAUGGUGAAAAGUAGGAUACCUAAUGGGGAAUGAUUUCACCAUAUAUCACAGUGUUGUAUAAUACUUUGAUGACAGUGUUUAUUUACACUUGAAUAAAUAUUUUUUUUUUACCAGUAA